rfam:Salmo salar isolate Sally breed double haploid chromosome ssa07, whole genome shotgun sequence.
UGGCUCAGUUGGUAGAGCAUGGCACUUGCAAUGCCAGGGUUGUGGGUUUGAUUCCCAC